rnacentral:rRNA from 1 species
CCUACGGGGGGCAGCAGUGAGGAAUAUUGGUCAAUGGGCGGGAGCCUGAACCAGCCAAGUCGCGUGAGGGAAGACGGUCCUAUGGAUUGUAAACCUCUUUAGGCGGGGAGCAAUGCCGGGCACGCGUGCCCGGAGGGAGAGUACCCGCAGAAUAAGCAUCGGCUAACUCCGUGCCAGCAGCCGCGGUAAUACGGAGGAUGCGAGCGUUAUCCGGAUUUAUUGGGUUUAAAGGGUGCGUAGGCGGAUUUUUAAGUCAGCGGUAAAAUGUCCGGGCUCAACCCGGGCCGGCCGUUGAAACUGGGGAUCUUGAGUGGGCGAGAAGUAUGCGGAAUGCGUGGUGUAGCGGUGAAAUGCAUAGAUAUCACGCAGAACUCCGAUUGCGAAGGCAGCAUACCGGCGCCCGACUGACGCUGAGGCACGAAAGCGUGGGGA